GGGACAGCUAAUAGAUGUAUAGGGGAGGUGGGACGUGCGCUUGAGGGAGGCUUUAUCCUUACGUAACUUUUGUGCUUUGUAACAUGUAUGUAGAUUUUUCUAUUUCAGAAAAAAGCAAUUCACAUUACAUUGAGCAUCUAUUAUGCAGCAGACUGAGUGCCGUUCCAGCUGAUGGUGAUGUGACAAUGAGUAAGAUUAGCACGGAUACCUCCUGCUGUCACACGGCUUAUGAUCUAGUGAAGAGACGGACACUAAAACAGAACGGAGAGCUCACUACCUUCAAGGCUGACCGUCCUCUCUUCUGUGCCGGGCACUGGGAACACUGAUGAUGCAGAUCCAUCUGUAACCUACUGGGACUCUCACGCUGCUCACUUAGCUGGAGCAACAGGCGAGAAAAUGAGGGUUGCAGGUGCGCCAAAGGCACAGGGAUGAGAGCGGCCAGUUCUCCACGGACCUACACCCCCAGCUACCUCUCCUCCGGGAUCUUACAUGCAAAGGGAUUAAAUUCCAGGAUCUUGGAGAUGUCUGCAGUCCAGCUGCCUCCUUGCUUUUGCUUUCACUUGAGAAUCAGCCAAGGUUCCCCAAGCAUCUGCUCCAUGCCAGGUCCUUCAUGGCACUUUGCCCCACUUAGUCCUCACAGCUUGCUGGGAAAGUGAUGUGCUAUUGCCCACUGGGCAGAUGGGGACAGAGGCACGGGAGGUCACUUGCCCAGGAUGACACCUCUAGUCAUUUGCAGAGUUGGAUCUGGCCUCAAGCUUGCUGGGGGCUCUUGGAGCCCAUGAAGAAUUGACCAGGGCAACACAUGACACUCCAACUUGGCACCAAUGCCUGUGCUUCCCUCAAAGGGCCUGGGCCUGGCCGGGUGCGGUGGCUCAUGCCUGUAAGCCCAGCACUUUGGGAGGCUGAGGCAGAUGGAUCAUGAGGUCAGAAGAUUGAGACCAUCCUGACCAUGGUGAAACCCCGUCUCUACUAAAAUACAAAAAAUCAGCCAGGCGUGGUGGCAGCCCACACCUGUCAUCCCAGCUACUCGGGAGGCUGAGGCAGGGGAAUUGCUUGAACCCAGGAGACAGAGGUUGCAGUGAGCCAAGAUCUCGUCACUACACUCCAGCCUGGGCAACAGAGCAAGACUCCAUCUCGAAAAAAAAAAAAAAAAAAAAGGCCCUGGGCAGAACCAAGCCGAAAGCUGCUAAGGCUCAGGACAGACUGUGAAGUCAGGAGUCUGACUCCAGCCUGCUCCAUCACGUGCUUCCUUCCUGGCUCUGCCUCCACCUGGAGGUCUCCCUGCACCAGCAGCUUCUGAAGGCCUAAACGGAGGACAGCAGCUUC
rnacentral:lncRNA from 13 species